GAUGAAGAACGCAGCGAAAUGCGAUAAGUAAUGUGAAUUGCAGAAUUCAGUGAAUCAUCGAAUCUUUGAACGCACAUUGCGCCCUCUGGUAUUCCGGGGGGCAUGCCUGUUCGAGCGUCAUUACAACCCUCAAGCUCUGCUUGGUAUUGGGCUCUGCCGGUCCUGGCAGGCCUCAAAGUCAGUGGCGGUGCCAUCCGGCUCCAAGCGUAGUAAUUCUUCUCGCUUCGGAGGCCGCGGUGCGUGCUAGCCAGCAACCCCCAAUUUUUUUCAGGUUGACCUCGGAUCAGGUAGGGAUACCCGCUGAACUUAAGCAUAUCAAUAAGCAGGA
rnacentral:misc_RNA from 1 species